AAUGCGGGCAUAAUUUAUGAACAGCCUUUAAGUGUAAAUUUCGCUAAAUGUUUAUUUGCGUGAUUAAUUAAUUAAUUAAAUUAACAAUAAUAUUCCUAUCCUAAGCAGUCCAUUUUUGGCCUCGGUUUCGCUCUCCACAACAGGAUAUUGUAACGGUUUUUCGCAACUUCAACUUCUGAUUGUCCUACAGAAAGCGAUGCCCUUCGUAAACUUUGGGAAUGUCGUCCAAGACCUUUCUACCAUAAGUAAUGAAACAAGUAUAAUGGAAAAAGAUAUUUACAUAGACACGGAGUCAACACAGCUAUCACCAGUAAGUUUUUCCCAGCUAACCUACAAUGUUGUAGAAAAUGUCCCAAAUAUUGAUAUUAAUGAAGAAAUUGAGUCUGACCAACUUUAUCAAAGCAAUGACUGCAGUACUUAUGGUAGAGAAAAAGAAGAGGAAAAAAACCAGAUACAGUUAAUCAGGAAUACUACAAUAAAGCUUUAUCAUCUUUGUCAUCAACGUCCAGUGGAAUAAAUAGUUUUUUGGAUAGGAGGUGUACUGUGUCACUGCCUGACAACAUUGAUCUGUUUUGUGAAUCAUAAAAAUUAAGAUUAUAAAAAGUAGGAUGCUGGGGAUCAAUUUAAUGCGAAAAAAACAUAGAAUGAUUAAUGUUAGACCUUGAAGGUCAGGAGAAAUAUUUUACAUAAU